UUCUACUUAUAUCAGUACACUCUUAACAACCUAAGCAUUACGAAACUUAUAUUCAAUCAAAUAAUCCUCAUGUGGCAAAUUCGACACUCUCAAUGACCUCCAUACCGAAACUCCUCGAUGUCACAUGAUGAAGAAUUGACCCAGCUAUCCCUUUUCCCCCUUCUUCUAUGGUGAAGUGCACGUCUUCACUCCUGAGGAUAUUUUUGAUCAGAGCUUGUAGCAGCACAACCAAGGGGGAGGAGAAUGGGCCUGCCAAGAAAACAAAAUAGCCUUCCAAGUGGAAAGUAGAGGUUCGGGAGAGAAGGCUGCAGGGUAAAUCCUACUUUGUCAGGGAAAAGAUGAUUGAGUUGUCUAUGGCAAUUCAUAUCUGCACUGUUUGAUUAUUUAUUACAUGAUUCUUACUAGAAUACUUGUAUUCCAUGCUGAAAUGUCUGAUUUGCAUACUAGUAACAGGAUUAAUAGUGAAAUUUCGAUAUACAUUGUUUCAAUGUUGGACAAUUUACCUGAUCCUACUUGAUAUUUCAUUCUGAGUAAAAAAUUAAACUUCACACUUGGUGUAAAUAUUUUUAGGACGCAUUCACGAUCACAUUUACUUGAAAUUAUAUUGUGAAAUAAAUGUUCAUUAAUGCUA